rnacentral:misc_RNA from 1 species
UCCGAGUUGACCCCGGCAGUCUCCUAUGAGUCCCCGCCAUCACGCGCUGGCAACAUAGAACGAGGGUUGCGCUCGUUGCGGGACUUAACCCAACAUCUCACGGCACGAGCUGACGACAGCCAUGCAGCACCUCUAUGGCAGCCCCCGAAGGGGAAGACCUGUUUCCAGGCCGGUCCGCCACAGUUCAAGCCCAGGUAAGGUUCUUCGCGUUGCAUCGAAUUAAACCACAUGCUCCACCGCUUGUGCGGACCCCCGCCAAUUCCUUUGAGUUUCAACCUUGCGGUCGUACUUCCCAGGUGGGAUACUUAAUGCUUUCGCUCAGACACACACAGUGUAUCGCGUAUGUCGAGUAUCCAUAGUUUAGGGCGUGGACUAC